AGUCAUCUGCUGAGUCACUUAGUAACCAAGGCCCAGGGCAGGAGAGCGAUCUGCCCAAGGGCAGAAUCUGAAUCCAGGUUCCCAGUUCCCCGGCCACGGCCCACUCCACUGCCCAGGAGCUCGCAGCCCUGACCAUACAGAAGAUUCCUAGAGGGCUCCACAAAGGACUCCACUCAGGCUCCAGCCCCAGAAAGCCAGGUUGGAGAGCUCUCCUCAUCGUAGCAACCCCAGGACUCUGGCAAACAGAGGCUCCGUCUCAAAGUGGACUUCGGCAGAGACUGCACCACGGGGAAGAGAAUGACGAGAAUCACCCACUGACUUCAAAAGCUUCCACGCACAUUUAUUCGGCCAAAACAUGUCAUAUGGCCAUGGCUGUGAAAGGCAAUGGAGAAGUACAAGCCCACUGUGUGCCUAGACGGAGAACCAGAACAUGUGGGACCAGUCUUAAUGACUCACGC
rnacentral:lncRNA from 1 species